AGAGUUUGAUCCUGGMUCAGGACGAACGCUGGCGGCAUGCCUAAUACAUGCAAGUCGAACGCCAAAUCUUCCUGCUUGCAGGAAGAGGCGGAGUGGCGAACGGGUGAGUAACACGUGAGGAACUUGCCCAUAAGAGGGGGAUAACACCCGGAAACGGGUGCUAAUACCGCAUAGGUUUUCCUAGUGCAUGCUGGGAAAAUAAAAGGUGGCUCUGCUACCGCUUAUGGAUAGCCUCGCGGCGCAUUAGCUAGUUGGUAGGGUAACGGCCUACCAAGGCCAUGAUGCGUAGCCGACUUGAGAGGGUGAUCGGCCACACUGGAACUGAGACACGGUCCAGACUCCUACGGGAGGCAGCAGUAGGGAAUCUUCCACAAUGGGUGCAAGCCUGAUGGAGCAAUGCCGCGUGAGUGAAGAAGGACUUCGGUUCGUAAAGCUCUGUUGUUGGGGAAGAACACGGAUAGGAGUCACUGCCUAUCCCUUGACGGUACCCAACCAGAAAGUCACGGCUAACUACGUGCCAGCAGCCGCGGUAAUACGUAGGUGACAAGCGUUGUCCGGAUUUAUUGGGCGUAAAGCGAGCGCAGGCGGUCCGGUAAGUCUGAUGUGAAAGCCCACGGCUCAACCGUGGAACGGCAUUGGAACUGGCGGACUUGAAUGUAGCAGAGGAAAGUGGAAUUCCAUGUGUAGCGGUGGAAUGCGUAGAUAUAUGGAGGAACACCAGUGGCGAAAGCGACUUUCUGGGCUAUGAUUGACGCUGAGGCUCGAAAGCGUGGGGAGCGAACAGGAUUAGAUACCCUGGUAGU
rnacentral:rRNA from 1 species